GCCCUGUGGUUGCCGGACGCCGCUGUGCCCGUGCGGCGCUCCGGUGGGAGAUGGGCCCACAGUGACGCUGUGAGUGACGCAGGGGGGCUGUGACCCCUGAGCAGCCCCCACAGCCCGGUCACAGGGACACCC